rnacentral:rRNA from 1 species
UACAGAGGUCUCAAGCGUUGUUCGGAUUCAUUGGGCGUAAAGGGUGCGUAGGCGGCGCGGUAAGUCGGGUGUGAAAUCUCGGAGCUUAACUCCGAAACUGCAUUCGAUACUGCCGUGCUUGAGGACUGGAGAGGAGACUGGAAUUUACGGUGUAGCGGUGAAAUGCAUAGAUAUGUCACAGAACACCAAUUGCGAAGGCAGCUUACUAUGGUUAGAUUGACACUGAGGCACGAAAGCGUGGGGAUCAAACAGG